UACGGGGGGGGCAAGCGUUGUUCGGAAUUACUGGGCGUAAAGGGCGUGUAGGCGGCCAACUAAGUCCGACGUGAAAUCCCCAGGCUUAACCUGGGAACUGCGUCGGAUACUGGAUGGCUUGAAUCCGGGAGAGGGAUGCGGAAUUCCAGGUGUAGCGGUGAAAUGCGUAGAUAUCUGGAGGAACACCGGUGGCGAAGGCGGCAUCCUGGACCGGCAUUACGCUAAAGCGCGAAAGCCAGGGGAGCAAACGGG
rnacentral:rRNA from 1 species